AUGAAGGCCCUAAAGUAUUUAAUAAACAAGUGAAAGCAUUCAUUGACCAAGGAUAUGUUAGAUCAAAGAAGUCUAGAGAGUCUGUAUCAAGUGUUGAUGCAAAUGUGGACGACAGUGCACAAAUAGACAGCCCUAACUUCAAGGAGAAGUAUUUAAAUCUUAAGG